AUACGGAGGAUCCGAGCGUUAUCCGGAUUUAUUGGGUUUAAAGGGAGCGUAGGCGGACGCUUAAGUCAGUUGUGAAAGUUUGCGGCUCAACCGUAAAAUUGCAGUUGAUACUGGUUUCCUUGAGUACGGUACAGGUGGGCGGCAUUCGCGGUGUAGCGGUGAAAUGCUUAGAUAUCACGAAGAACUCCGAUCGCGAAGGCAGCUCACCGGGCCGGAACUGACACUGAUGCUCGAAAGUGCGGGUAUCAAACAGGAUUAGAUACCCUGGUAGUCCGCACAGUAAACGAUGAAUACUCGCUGUUUGCGAUACACUGUAAGCGGCCAAGCGAAAGCGUUAAGUAUUCCACCUGGGGAGUACGCCGGCAACGGUGAAACUCAAAUGAAUUGACGGGG
rnacentral:rRNA from 1 species